rnacentral:rRNA from 1 species
AAUAGAUACCCAGGUAGUCCACGCCGUAAACGAUGAGUGCUAAGUGUUAGGGGGUUUCCGCCCCUUAGUGCUGCAGCUAACGCAUUAAGCACUCCGCCUGGGGAGUACGGUCGCAAGACUGAAACUCAAAGGAAUUGACGGGGGCCCGCACAAGCGGCGGAGCAUGUGGUUUAAUUCGAAGCAACGCGAAGAACCUUACCAGGUCUUGACAUCCCAUUGACCACUAUGGAGACAUAGUUUUCCCUUCGGGGACAACGGUGACAGGUGGUGCAUGGUUGUCGUCAGCUCGUGUCGUGAGAUGUUGGGUUAAGUCCCGCAACGAGCGCAACCCUUGUUCUUAGUUGCCAUCAUUUAGUUGGGCACUCUAAGGAGACUGCCGGUGACAAACCGGAGGAAGGUGGGGAUGACGUCAAAUCAUCAUGCCCCUUAUGACCUGGGCUACACACGUGCUACAAUGGACGGUACAAACGGUUGCCAACCCGCGAGGGGAGCUAAUCCGAUAAAACCGUUCUCAGUUCGGAUUGUAGGCUGCAACUCGCCUACA